rnacentral:rRNA from 1 species
UACGGGGGGGGCAAGCGUUGUUCGGAAUUACUGGGCGUAAAGGGUUCGUAGGUGGCUUGCUAAGUCAGACGUGAAAUCCCUCAGCUUAACUGGGGAACUGCGUCUGAUACUGGCGAGCUUGAGUGCAGGAGAGGAACGCGGAAUUCCAGGUGUAGCGGUGAAAUGCGUAGAUAUCGUAAGGAAGACCAGUGGCGAAGGCGGCAUCCUGGACCAACACUGACACUGAGGAGCGAAAGCCAGGGGAGCAAACGGG